GGGGACAUGGGAAAUGGGGAAGUUAGCAAUGCAACAAGAAAAAUUUUGGUUCUUGAUGAAAUGGAUAUUCUGAACCAAUUCCUUGAAGAUCAUAUUGAUGAUGAUUCUGAUGUUGAUGUGGAAAGAGCUCCUGGGGACAAGGAAAUUAGAGGAGAAGUAGCUAAACAAGAUCAUCAUGAAGACUUUCUGAAGAAUUUUCUGGAAUUAUCAUAUGCUUCUUCUGUAGUGAAUUUUGAAACUCCAAUCCUGGAUGUAAAGUUUGCCUCUGAAGACAACUCCAUUAACAAGUCGCCUCUUGAAGCCC
rnacentral:lncRNA from 1 species